CGCCUCUCGAUAAUCAUUAGAGGUCCAGCCUGCCCAGUGACUCUUGUUCAACGGCCGCGGUAUCCUAACCGUGCGAAGGUAGCGUAAUCACUUGUCCCCUAAAUAGAGACUAGUAUGAAAGGCAUCACGAGGGUUUAACUGUCUCCUCUGUCUAAUCAGUGAAAUUAAUCCCCUCGUGAAAAAGCGAGGAUCCCCCUAUAAGACGAGAAGACCCUAUGGAGCUUAAAACAUCCUACACGUGGCCCCCCCCCUUUUUAAACCCCUCCCCCCACGCUGUUUUUAUGUUUUUGGUUGGGGUGACCACGGAGAAAAUCUCAUCCUCCGUAAUGAAAGGAAUAAUCCUUAACAACAAGCUACAGCUUUAUGUACUAGUACACUAACACCUAUUGACCCAUAAAUUGAUUAAUGAACCAAGUUACCCUAGGGAUAACAGCGCAAUCCACUUCAAGAGCCCCUAUCGACAAGUGGGCUUACGACCUCGAUGUUGGAUCGGGAUACCCUAGUGGUGCAGCCGCUACUAAAGGUUCGUUUGUUCAACGAUUAAAACCCC
rnacentral:rRNA from 1 species